rnacentral:rRNA from 1 species
CCUACGGGAGGCUGCAGUGGGGAAUAUUGGACAAUGGGGGGAACCCUGAUCCAACCAUGCCGCGUGUGUGAAGAAGGCCCUCGGGUUGUAAAGCACUUUCAGUGAGGAAGAACGCCUGGUGGUUAAUACCCAUCAGGAAAGACAUCACUCACAGAAGAAGCACCGGCUAACUCCGUGCCAGCAGCCGCGGUAAUACGGAGGGUGCGAGCGUUAAUCGGAAUUACUGGGCGUAAAGCGCGCGUAGGUGGCUUGAUAAGCCGGUUGUGAAAGCCCCGGGCUCAACCUGGGAACGGCAUCCGGAACUGUCAAGCUAGAGUGCAGGAGAGGAAGGUAGAAUUCCCGGUGUAGCGGUGAAAUGCGUAGAGAUCGGGAGGAAUACCAGUGGCGAAGGCGGCCUUCUGGACUGACACUGACACUGAGGUGCGAAAGCGUGGGUAGCAAACAGGAUUAGAUACCCUUGUAGUC